GCCUCGCCACACCGUGGAUCAGGGCCUCCCACCCCACCCCCCACCUCAUCCCCAGGGAGCGUCCGGUUCCUCCAGCCCCACCAGGGGCCAGCAGGCUCGGGGCCGGUGAGACUACGACACCAUUGCCAGGACUGUGCCAAGUGUGGUGCCUGCUGAUCCCUCCGUCCCUUCUCUGGGCCUGAGGUCUCAGGGGCCUGGCUGGGGCCAGACACCUCAGGAAGGUGAGGACAGAGUCACCCGCCCCUUCGCACCCUCCUCCAUCCUAUGAAUGUGGAAACAGAGGCCCAGAGAGGGUCACAAGCCAGAUGUCACACAGACGGUAUUUGCAUGGGGCAGUCCACUCCGGAGCCACAGCUGCUGUUCCUGGUACUGAGUUCCAGGCCCCUAGGGUGAGCCUGUGGGUAUGCAGAUAGGGACACAGGCUUGGGGAGAGCCGAGCCCCACCCUUGCAGUCCAGGCCUCUCCUCCCUCCCUCCUGGUCUCCAGUUUGCCCCCAGUCCACAGCUGGGUGGGGUCCCCACAGUGUGACAGCUCAGCUGCAGGUCUUGGGGCCACUGCUGUGGGGAUCCAGCCUGCGGGCCUCAGCCUGGCACCGGCUGGGUCACCCUCUCCUCAAGUGGAAAGUCCCUGUCCCUGGCAGCCCGAUAGCCAGAAGCAGGGCCCAGUGCUUAGAGAUGUGCAGCUGGGAGGCCUGGUGGGAGGGUCCCAGAGGCUGGGGCCCAGGUUUCAGUGGAAUGACAAAGUGCUGCAGAAAUGCUCAGCAGGUCCAGCUGCUUCCUGGACAGAAAGCACAGCACCAGGCUGGUGGCAUCCACAAUGGCAGCUGCCAACUGUGCAAGACAGGGGACGGGCAUGCCGUGUGGAGAACCAGCUUUUCGAGGGCACUGACUGCAUGCAGUGAGCCCUGUCACCCAGACAGGGCCCACACGGCAUCCCAACACCACUGUCCCUGCUGCCAGCCCCGGGUGGGUGAGUAACGGAGAUCCCUCCCGAAGUUCCUGGUCCUCCUCCUCCACUGGGCUCCCCCACCACCCUGCCGGGUCCCCAGUGACUGGCCUCCUGACCCUUGCUGCGGAUGCUGCUGGCCUCUGGAGUUGCUGUGCAUACCAGUGUUGUCCAGUAGGAGCAUAACGUUAGCCACUUGAGCAAUGAAAAUGUUCCCAGUAGUGAAAGUGGUUUUAACAAUGUAUUUUAUUCAUCCCAACAUAUUAAAAUGUUAAUAUUUAAAAAUCA